rnacentral:tRNA from 1 species
GAGCCCGUGGCUCAAUGGUAGAGCGUUCGACUCAAAUACUAAAGGUCUCGGGUUCAAAUCCCAGGUUUG